rnacentral:tRNA from 1 species
GUCAGUAAGGGUAGGGGGUGUAGCACCGGCCUUCUAAGCCGACGGUCGCAGGUUCGAAUCCUGCAGGGGUCGCCA